UGCAACUAUUUGCAUCGCCUGAUG
rnacentral:siRNA from 1 species